UACGGAAGGCAGCAGUGGGGAAUAUUGCACAAUGGGCGCAAGCCUGAUGCAGCCAUGCCGCGUGUAUGAAGAAGGCCUUCGGGUUGUAAAGUACUUUCAGUCGUGAGGAAGGUGUUAAGGUUAAUAACCUUAGCAAUUGACGUUAGCGACAGAAGAAGCACCGGCUAACUCCGUGCCAGCAGCCGCGGUAAUACGGAGGGUGCGAGCGUUAAUCGGAAUUACUGGGCGUAAAGGGCACGCAGGCGGUUAAUUAAGUUGGAUGUGAAAUCCCCGGGCUUAACCUGGGAAUGGCAUUCAAGACUGGUUAGCUAGAGUCUUGUAGGGGGGGUAGAAUUCCAUGUGUAGCGGUGAAAUGCGUAGAGAUGUGGAGGAAUACCGGUGGCGAAGGCGGCCCCUGGACAAAGACUGACGCUCAUGUGCGAAAGCGUGGGGAGCAAACAGGGAUUAGAUACC
rnacentral:rRNA from 1 species